GGUGAAGGAUGAGCCCGCGGCCUAUCAGCUUGUUGGUGGGGUAAUGGCCUACCAAGGCGACGACGGGUAGCCGGCCUGAGAGGGCGACCGGCCACACUGGGACUGAGACACGGCCCAGACUCCUACGGGAGGCAGCAGUGGGGAAUAUUGCACAAUGGGCGAAAGCCUGAUGCAGCGACGCCGCGUGAGGGAUGACGGCCUUCGGGUUGUAAACCUCUUUCAGCAGGGAAGAAGCGAAAGUGACGGUACCUGCAGAAGAAGCGCCGGCUAACUACGUGCCAGCAGCCGCGGUAAUACGUAGGGCGCAAGCGUUGUCCGGAAUUAUUGGGCGUAAAGAGCUCGUAGGCGGCUUGUCACGUCGGAUGUGAAAGCCCGGGGCUUAACCCCGGGUCUGCAUUCGAUACGGGCUAGCUAGAGUGUGGUAGGGGAGAUCGGAAUUCCUGGUGUAGCGGUGAAAUGCGCAGAUAUCAGGAGGAACACCGGUGGCGAAGGCGGAUCUCUGGGCCAUUACUGACGCUGAGGAGCGAAAGCGUGGGGAGCGAACAGGAUUAGAUACCCUGGUAGUCCACGCCGUAAACGUUGGGAACUAGGUGUUGGCGACAUUCCACGUCGUCGGUGCCGCAGC
rnacentral:rRNA from 1 species